UUUCGGGGACCAAAACGUGGGUCGAGAGAGGUCGCCAAGUCUCUUCUGUAACGUAACUCAAUUACUGACAUCUAGCAUUUUGUCAUAGUCCAUACAUAUUUACGUAAAAUAUCACUGUAUAUUUCUUUUUUACCUCGCGAUUGACUCAAGUUCAAGGAGUUAGGUCACCCGUCCAGGAAAAAAUUGGAGUAAGAACACGACCAUAAACUUAUAAGGAAUAUUAAUAACUCUAAAAGACUAAUCAAUUCAUUUAACUAAUAUGGUUAGAACAUGUCUAAUGGGAGUUCUUAUGGUGGGAUUCUUAGAGCAAGUACAUCGGCGGGUUUAGUGAUGGGUUCUUAGAGAAAAAAAUAAAUAAAAAAAUAAAUAAAAAAUGCUAUUAAUGGACAGAACCGAGCUUUUAAUAAGAGAGUUUAGAAGUGUUAAUAACCCCUUACGUGGCAGCAGUGUAUUGGCUUGAUCUUUUUGCACGAAAGAGAAAAAAGUCGGAUCUUCUAUUUUUGCAUUCGUUUGGUCUUUCUCAUCGACAAAAUCGAAGAGUCUCUCUCUUGUCGAUUCUGUUCUUCAUCUCCGAUGGAGAUGAUCCUUGAUCCGUUUCGUCUGCCUCCGAUUCUGUGUUUGUCUUGUUGGAUUUCGUCGAAAUCCCCUCAACGGAUCCCUCUCUUCUUCGUGGGUUCUCUCGAAAUCUCCAACGGAGAUGAUGUUUGCUUCGUUUAUCUCUUCGUCGUUGUUCUCCUCUAGAUCUGUCCAUGCAACCACUGUGAAGGUGGUCUGGUAUGGACAGUUGUGAUGUUGUUGUCUCGGUUGGAUUAUUUUGUGAUCCCGUGACACAAGGCCAACAUGUGACACAAGGAGACAGUAUGAGACAGUAAAGCUUAUGAGUUGUAUCAUGUGUAUUAUGAGACAAUAAAGCUUGUAACACAAGGAGACACAAGAAAUUUUUUCUAUGUAUUAUUUGUUGUAUUUUGUGAUCCCGUGACACAAUCCUGUGUACCAACACUAAGCAAUAGCUUCUUUAUAAAUUGAAAAGCUUCUUUAUAAAUUGUACCAACACUCAUCAAUAGCUUCUUUCUUAUCAACUUCCACAACUCACAUUGUUGCUUCUUUCUUAUUUUCCACAACUCACAACAACUCCGAGAGAGAGCAAGAGCUUCUUUUUUAUUUUCUACAACUCACAUUUUUGUUUCUUUCUUUUCAAUCGUGCUUCUAUCAUAUUUUUCUCCAAAUAAUCAAAUUUUUCUUAACAUUUUCUAAAUGGCAUCUUCUUCUUCUAAUAAUUUCGAGGAGAUGGAUGAAAAGUUAGAUCAAAAUUUUGAUCAACAAUUUGAAAAUCUCUUAAUUCAAUAUGAAAAUCGUCAAGAAGCAUCAAGGGCAAAAAAAAGAAACGAGCCUACAUUGAAAGACAACGAGAACAAGGACAGAUGCAGUUAUGGAACGAUUAUUUUAGUGAAGAUGCAACAUAUCCUUCUCACAUGUUUCGACGCCGUUUUCGAAUGAACAAGCCCUUGUUCAUGCGUAUUUUUGAUCGACUCUCCGCUGAAAUCCCCUACUUUCAAAAAGGAAGAGAUGCUACUGGAAGGUUCGGUCACUCUGCGUUACAAAAGGCAACAGCAGCAAUUCGUAUGAUGGCGUAUGGUUGCCCGGCUGAUGCGGUCGACGAAUACCUCCGACUUGGUGAGACCACCGCGCUUUUAUGUUUGGAACAUUUUGUUGAAGGAAUCAUAAAUUUAUUUGGAGAUGAGUAUCUAAGAAGACCCACGCCAUAAGAUCUUCAACGACUACUCGAUAUUGGAGAGAUACGCGGAUUUCCCGGGAUGAUAGGAAGCAUUGAUUGUAUGCAUUGGGUUUGGAAGAAUUGUCCGACCGCAUGGAAAGGUCAAUAUACACGUGGAUCAGGAAAUCCAACAAUCGUUUUAGAGGUUGUAGCAUCACAAGACCUGUGGAUAUGGCACGCGUUUUUUGGACCUCCAGGUACAUUAAACGAUAUUAAUGUUCUUGAUCGAUCACCGGUUUUUGAUGAUAUAUUACAAGGUCGAGCUCCAAAAGUUUAUUACAUUGUCAACGGACACAAGUACCAUUUGGCUUACUAUCUCACAGAUGGUAUAUAUCCUAAAUGAGCUACUUUUGCCCAAUCUAUUCCACUUCCGCAAGGUCCGAAAGCAACCUUAUAUUCUACACAUCAAGAAGUUGUACGUAAAGAUGUCGAGCGUGCUUUUGGGGUCUUACAAGCUCGAUUUGCCAUUGUCAAAAAUCCAGCUCUUUUGUGGGAUAAAAUAAAAAUUGGCAAGAUAAUACGAGCAUGUAUCAUUCUACAUAAUAUGAUCGUAGAAGACGAACGAGAUGGGUACACUCAGUUUGAUGUAUCAGUUUUCGCACAACCGAAAUCAAACCGAAGUUCACAUGUGGAUUUCACAUAUUCUAAAGAUAUGCCUUCAAAUCUUGGCAAUAUGAUGAGCAUUCAGAAUCGAGUUCGUGAUAAAACAAUACAUCAACAAUUGAAGGUUGAUUUGGUUGAGAAUAUAUGGCAAAAAUUUGGAACAAAUCAAGAUUUCAACUAAUCAGCCUUUUCUAGUUUACGAUUUAUAUAUGUAUUUUUCAUA